UCGGACGUGGUGUACGGCGCACAACCGCUCUUCUUACGCAAUAGGUGACAAAUAGGUGAAGGCGGGAGGCCUGGGUUCGACUCCCGGCGUCCGAG